GAUGAAGAACGUAGCGAAAUGCGAUACUUGGUGUGAAUUGCAGAAUCCCGUGAACCAUCGAGUCUUUGAACGCAAGUUGCGCCCGAAGCCAUUAGGCCGAGGGCACGCCUGCCUGGGCGUCACACGUCGUUGCCCCCCCAUCUACUCCUUCGGGGUUGCGGGGGGCGGAUGACGGCCUCCCGUGCGCCUCGUCGCGCGGUUGGCAUAAAUGCCAAGUCCUCGGCGACGCACGCCACGACAAUCGGUGGUUGCGAAACCUCGGUUGCCCGUCGUGUGCGGUCGUCGCGCAUCGAGGGCUCGAAAAAAUUGCCGGGCUCCGGCUCGGCUUUCAACGCGACCCCAGGUCAGGCGGGGUUACCCGCUGAAUUUAAGCAUAUCAAUAAGCGGAGGA
rnacentral:misc_RNA from 1 species